UGCAUGUCUAAGUACAUGCCGUAUUAAGGCGAAACCGCGAAUGGCUCAUUAAAUCAGUUAUGGUUCCUUGGAUCGUACCUUACUACUUGGAUAACUGUGGCAAUUCUAGAGCUAAUACAUGCAGCAGAGCUCCGACCUUCGGGAACGAGCGCUUUUAUUAGACCAAAACCAAUCGGACCUCGCGUCCGUCAAUCGUGGUGACUCUGUAUAACUUUGGGCUGAUCGCACGGGCUCGUCCCGGCGACGUAUCUUUCAAGUGUCUGCCUUAUCAACUGUCGAUGGUAGGUUACGCGCCUACCAUGGUCGUAACGGGUGACGGGGAAUCAGGGUUCGAUUCCGGAGAGGGAGCCUGAGAAACGGCUACCACAUCCAAGGAAGGCAGCAGGCGCGCAAAUUACCCACUCCCAGAACGGGGAGGUAGUGACGAAAAAUAACAAUACGGGACUCUUUUGAGACCCCGUAAUUGGAAUGAGUACACUCUAAAUCCUUUAACAAUGAUCAAUUGGAGGGCAAGUCUGGUGCCAGCAGCCGCGGUAAUUCCAGCUCCAAUAGCGUAUAUUAAAGUUGUUGCGGUUAAAAAGCUCGUAGUUGGAUCUCGGUUACCGAAACGCGGUCCGCCUAACGGUGGUCACUGCGUUUUCGGAACGCUCUGGAGUCGGUUUUCCUUGAUGAUCUUCACCGGUUGUCUCGGGUGACCGACAAGUUUACUUUGAAAAAAUUAGAGUGCUCAAAGCAGGCGCGACGCCUGAAUAAUGGUGCAUGGAAUAAUGGAAUAGGACCUCGGUUCUAUUUUGUUGGUUUUCGGAACACGAGGUAAUGAUUAAGAGGGACAGACGGGGGCAUUCGUAUUGCUGAGCUAGAGGUGAAA
rnacentral:rRNA from 1 species